GACGAACGCUGGCGGCGUGCUUAACACAUGCAAGUCGAACGGAAAGGCCCUGCUUGCCGGGUACUCGAGUGGCGAACGGGUGAGUAACACGUGGGUGAUCUGCCCUGCACUUCGGGAUAAGCCUGGGCAACUGGGUCUAAUACCGGAUAGGAGCCAUUUUUAGUGUGAUGGUUGGAAAGUUUUUUCGGUGUAGGAUGAGCUGGCGGCCUAUCGGCUUGUUGGUGGGGUAAUGGCCUACCAAGGCGGCGACGGGUAGCCGGCCUGAGAGGGUGGACGGCCACAUUGGGACUGAGAGACGGCCCAGACGCCUACGGGAGGCAGCAGUGGGGAAUAUUGCACAAGGGGCGCAAGCCUGAUGCAGCGACGCCGCGUGGGGGAUGACGGCCUUCGGGUUGUAAACUACUUUCGCUAGGGACGAAGCUUUUUGUGACGGUACCUAGAUAAGAAGCACCGGCUAACUACGUG
rnacentral:rRNA from 1 species